ensembl:piRNA 21ur-1717 ncRNA
UGUUCUUGGAAUAUUGUUAAC